rnacentral:rRNA from 1 species
UGAGUAACACGUGAGUGACCUGCCUUUUAGACUGGAACAACUUACCGAAAGGUGAGCUAAUGCCGGAUGAGUUAUAUAAGUGCAUGUUUAUAUAGGAAAAGUUGGGGAGACCUGACGCUGAAAGAUGGACUCGCGUCCCAUUAGCUAGUUGGUAGGGUAAUGGCCUACCAAGGCGACGAUGGGUAGCCGGCCUGAGAGGGUGGCCGGCCACACUGGGACUGAGACACAGCCCAGACUCCUACGGAAGGCAGCAG